GAGGGUGUAGCUCAAUGAUAGAGUAUGUGCUUAGCAUUCCCGAGCCCCUGGGUUCCAUUCCCAGCACUCCCC
rfam:Ictidomys tridecemlineatus contig025895, whole genome shotgun sequence.